CCAGAUCACAAAGGCACCUGUU
rnacentral:snRNA from 1 species